rnacentral:snRNA from 1 species
GGAUGUGAGGGCAAUCUGGAUGCGACAUCUGUCACCCAUUGAUUGCCAGGUUGAUUUGGCUGAUCUGGCUGGCUAGGCGGGUGUGCCCCUACCCCUGCCAACACUCCAUGUGCAUCCCUCCCGAAGCUGCACACUGGGUCAAGAGGACGACCACCCCGGAUACAGGAGGCCUGUUCCCUGGCCAACGAUAUAGGAGUAGCUGCGCUCCCCUGCUAGGACCUCCAAAUAAGCUCUCAAGAAGGGAGGGAAGGGGAGGAGGAAAUGAGGAUCAGUAAACU